ensembl:lncRNA
GGCAAAAGGAAACAUUAAAAUACCUGAUCAGCAAAACGUAUUUGUACAAAAACAAAAUGACUGUUCUGUUUCUGGCCUCCUUUAGAUUAAACCCCAAGUAAUCAAAUGUUAUUUCAGAUCUCCAGUUCCUAAUAUUUUCUUGUAGAAAAUGUACUUUUUGAUUUACCUUCUUUCCUAAUGCUCCAUCCACAGUUGCUUAUAUAUUUAAAGAUUUUGAAUCUCAGUAGCUUGAGAUGAAAGCAGGUUGAUGAUUUUGAUUUUGGUGGCACGUAACAGUAAUAAUAAAAAUGUUACUCUACCAAAACAGUAAUAGUGAGAACAAUAUGUCAUAAUAUCAGGAAUAACAUUACCUGAUAACAAUUUAUAUUAUUUCAUUUUCCAAGUAAGACAAACGUGACAAAUUUCAUUUUGAAUUAAAUUUCUAUGUGGUAAAAUAAGUUGGGUAUGCCAAGUCAGAAUUUUCCUAAUUUUGGUGUUAAGCCAAAAUUGAAACAAAAUAAAAUCAGACUUGCAGCUUUAUUGCGUUUGCUGAAUAUUUGUGUAAUCCAGUUUUGUUUUUGCCUUUUCCUGGCACUGAUAGCCUUCCAUAGAAACCGUUUGGUUAUGGAGGUCUUGCAGCUGAUCUGGUUCUUCUAGAUGAGAAUAAUUAGGUAAAUGCUGAAGUUGUUUUGUUUUGAUCCUCUUUCCUGGCUUCUAACACGGGUCUUUUGUAUGCGAUCACUUCCCCUCCUGAUUAUAUUGUGGUGCUAUGUGUGUGUGUAUAUAUAUAUAUAUAUAUAGAUAGAUAUAUAUGGGGAGAGAGAUUGUCUGGUAAAUUGAGUUAUAGUGAAAAAUUUAUUUUCGAUACAAAUUGAGGUGGGGGGAGGGAGUAUCUGUCAGUUAUAAAUCUAUUGAUAUUAACAAUAACCCUAGAGGUACAUUUUCAAAAUUGCAGUUUCAAGUUUGUACAUCUUUUUGAUAGUGUAUACACGUUUCUGUUUAUAUGAUUAAUUUGUGCUGUGACUAAGCUUUGACCAUGUAAAUAAAGCCAGAAGUUUGGAUUAC